rnacentral:rRNA from 1 species
GACGAACGCUGGCGGCGUGCUUAACACAUGCAAGUCGAACGGAAAGGCCCUGCUUUUGUGGGGUGCUCGAGUGGCGAACGGGUGAGUAACACGUGAGUAACCUGCCCUUGACUUUGGGAUAACUUCAGGAAACUGGGGCUAAUACCGGAUAGGAGCUCCUGCUGCAUGGUGGGGGUUGGAAAGUUUCGGCGGUUGGGGAUGGACUCGCGGCUUAUCAGCUUGUUGGUGGGGUAGUGGCUUACCAAGGCUUUGACGGGUAGCCGGCCUGAGAGGGUGACCGGCCACAUUGGGACUGAGAUACGGCCCAGGCUCCUACGGGAGGCAGCAGUGGGGAAUAUUGCACAAUGGGCGGAAGCCGGAUGCAGCAACGCCGCGUGCGGGAUGACGGCCUUCGGGUUGGAAACCGCUUUCGCCUGUGACGAAGCGUGAGUGACGGUAAUGGGUAAAGAAGCACCGGCUAACUACGU